AAGACUAUAGACCUGCGGAGUACCUGCGGAGGGAUCAUUAAUGAAUUUUAGGACGUUCUUUUUAGAAGUCCGACCAUUUCAUUUUCUUACACUGUGCACACACUUCUUUUCACACACACUUUUAACACAUUAGUAUAAGAAUGUAAUAGUCUCUUAGUUGAGUAUAAACAAAAAUAAAACUUUCAGCAACGGAUCUCU
rnacentral:misc_RNA from 1 species